AAAUACUCUCUAUUAACUCCAUUUAUACAUCUCCUCCCACAAUCUCAACCAACCGUCGUUCCUGCAGCUUUUCUUCUCUUCAUUGAAGUUUGAGGGAGAAACCAAGAGAGUUGCAAUUUUUUUUCAAUACCUUCUCUUCUGCAAGUUUUGCCUCUCCGGAAGAUUGAGCGGCGAUGGACGAGGAGGAUGUUGAGCAGAGUUCAUGGAUUGUUUUGUCAUGAUUAAUAAAUGUUGGGUUUGUCGUGUCUUCAUACUCGACAUUUUCCGUGUCUUGAACGCUUCCGCUAAGAGUCAUUUUCUUUAGAAUUGUUUAUUCGUGCAGAGUCUAACUCGUUUGAAAAUUGUUUA